rnacentral:rRNA from 1 species
UACAGAGGUCUCAAGCGUUGUUCGGAUUCAUUGGGCGUAAAGGGUGCGUAGGCGGCGCGGUAAGUCGGGUGUGAAAUCUCGGAGCUUAACUCCGAAACCGCAUUCGAUACUGCCGUGCUUGAGGACUGGAGAGGAGACUGGAAUUUACGGUGUAGCGGUGAAAUGCGUAGAUAUCGUAAGGAAGACCAGUGGCGAAGGCGGGUCUCUGGACAGUUCCUGACGCUGAGGCACGAAGGUCAGGGGAGCAAACGGG